GUCUCUACCAGUGGACCUUCUGGGCCAUUACCUACAGCUCCUUCAGCGCCUGCGUCUGUGUCUGCUGUUCAAACUCCUCCAUUGAGGACUGCAUUGAACUUGCUGUCAAUGUUCAAUAAGCAAAGGUUUUGGGGGCUCUCAUGUGUCUGCAGCAAGACCAAACCUUAAAUUGGCAAAGAAGCUUGUUCAGACACAAGAUGUCCAUAGCCCGGCCAAGUUGUCUACAGCCUCUGUGAGUGCCCCCACCCUUGCACCGGCCUCUGUGAAGGCCUCAACCCUGUCUCUGGCCUCUGUGAGUGCCCCCACCCCUACACGGUGUCUGCAAGUGCCCAAAUCCCUGUACCG